CGCGGUAUAGCGCAGCGGAAGCGCACCGGCCUCAUAAGCCGGAGGUCAGCGGUUCGAAUCCGCUUGCCGCACCCA
rnacentral:tRNA from 1 species